rnacentral:rRNA from 1 species
UACAGAGGUCCCAAGCGUUGCUCGGAUUCAUUGGGCGUAAAGGGCGCGUAGGCGGUUCGUCGCGUCGGCUGUGAAAACCCGGAGCUCAACUCCGGGCCUGCAGUCGAUACGGGCGGACUAGAGUUCGGCAGGGGAGACUGGAAUUCCUGGUGUAGCGGUGAAAUGCGCAGAUAUCAGGAGGAACACCGGUGGCGAAGGCGGGUCUCUGGGCCGAUACUGACGCUGAGGAGCGAAAGCGUGGGGAGCGAACAGG